rnacentral:tRNA from 1 species
ACCUGACUGGCUCAGUUGGUAGAGCAUGUGACUCUUGGUCUCAGAAUUGUGAGUUCGAGCCCCACAUUGGGAA